UAUGUUUAUACGUGUUUAGAACAUGGGGCAGGUUAGAAGACAACAUUUGUAAUUUAUAAUUAGUGCGAAAACAUGGUAUAUUCCAUGUAUUAGUAGUUCUUGUGCUUAUGUUAGCACGACGCAUGUCCAAAGAUGCCAGAGUAGAAUAAAAAUCGGCAAUGGAUGCUAUGGAUAAAUAAAUUUUUUU
rnacentral:lncRNA from 1 species